rnacentral:rRNA from 1 species
UACGAAGGGGGCUAGCGUUGCUCGGAAUCACUGGGCGUAAAAGCGCACGUAGGCGGCUUUCUAAGUCAGGGGUGAAAUCCUGGAGCUCAACUCCAGAACUGCCUUUGAUACUGGGAAGCUCGAGUCCGGAAGAGGUGAGUGGAACUGCGAGUGUAGAGGUGAAAUUCGUAGAUAUUCGCAAGAACACCAGUGGCGAAGGCGGCUCACUGGUCCGGUACUGACGCUGAGGUGCGAAAGCGUGGGGAGCAAACAGG